UACGUAGGGUGCGAGCGUUGUCCGGAAUUAUUGGGCGUAAAGGGCUCGUAGGCGGUUUUUCGCGUCGGGAGUGAAAACCUCGGGCUUAACUCGGGGCUUGCUUUCGAUACGGGCAGACUGGAGGUAUGCAGGGGAGAACGGAAUUCCUGGUGUAGCGGUGAAAUGCGCAGAUAUCAGGAGGAACACCGGUGGCGAAGGCGGUUCUCUGGGCAUGACCUGACGCUGAGGAGCGAAAGUGUGGGGAGCGAACAGG
rnacentral:rRNA from 1 species